rnacentral:rRNA from 1 species
UCUCCGUAGGUGAACCUGCGGAGGGAUCAUUACACAAAUAUGAAGGCGGGCUGGAACCUCUCGGGGUUACAGCCUUGCUGAAUUAUUCACCCUUGUCUUUUGCGUACUUCUUGUUUCCUUGGUGGGUUCGCCCACCACUAGGACAAACAUAAACCUUUUGUAAUUGCAAUCAGCGUCAGUAACAAAUUAAUAAUUACAACUUUCAACAACGGAUCUCUUGGUUCUGGCAUCGAUGAAGAACGCAGCGAAAUGCGAUAAGUAGUGUGAAUUGCAGAAUUCAGUGAAUCAUCGAAUCUUUGAACGCACAUUGCGCCCUUUGGUAUUCCAAAGGGCAUGCCUGUUCGAGCGUCAUUUGUACCCUCAAGCUUUGCUUGGUGUUGGGCGUCUUGUCUCUAGCUUUGCUGGAGACUCGCCUUAAAGUAAUUGGCAGCCGGCCUACUGGUUUCGGAGCGCAGCACAAGUCGCACUCUCUAUCAGCAAAGGUCUAGCAUCCAUUAAGCCUUUUUUUCAACUUUUGACCUCGGAUCAGGUAGGGAUACCCGCUGA